CAAUAGCGUAUAUUAAAGUUGUUGCAGUUAAAAAGCUCGUAGUUGGAUUUCUGGUGGGAGCGAUCGGUCUGGAGCUUAGCGCGAGUACUUGCAUCGUCUCCGGCCAUCCUUGGGGAGAGUCUGUCUGGCAUUAGGUUGUCGGGCAGAGGAUCCUCAUCGUUUACUGUGAAAAAAUUAGAGUGUUCAAAGCAGGCUUAUGCCGUUGAAUAUAUUAGCAUGGAAUAAUAAGAUAGGACUUUGGUACUAUUUUGUUGGUUUGCGCACCAAAGUAAUGAUUAAUAGGGACAGUUGGGGGUAUUCGUAUUCCGUUGUCAGAGGUGAAAUUCUUGGAUUUACGGAAGACGAACUACUGCGAAAGCAUUUACCAAGGAUGUUUUCAUUAA
rnacentral:rRNA from 1 species